rnacentral:lncRNA from 1 species
CACACUGAAUCAAGUUGUAUGCAGACAACCUUGCAUGGUAACAAUCCAGAGACUCGUGAGACUGGGAACCCUGCAGUUGCGGCACAAUGGAUUAUUAUUCAAUAAAUUAAUUACCAUGUUAUAAAAAGAACAGCAGUGUCUGCAUUGACUGGGCUGUUAGGCCUGUUGCUGAUUCCUAACAUGGCAGAAUAUUCACAGCUUGCUGCAGGUUAUGAACAUACAACUCACUGAUCCAAUUUAGCUUUUUUAUCCAUUUGGCCACCUCACCAGUUUGACCAGAACUGCCUCAGGUGAUGUUUGCUUCGUGAGAGGAGUUCCGAACAGCACUGGUCUCCAUGUACACAAUCUUCGCUGGGAGCCGCGCCGCUGGCACUUCCCUGACUUGAAAGACAGCGACUUGGACUGGGUCCUGGCCAUUCUGUCUCCCGUCCUUUUUUCCUAUAUUGAUUGUGACCUGGUGCUGCCGAGGGACGGUCUUUCUCGGACUGGCGCUCGUCGGCUGUUGGAGCUCGCAGAAGAAUGGCCCAAUAUGGCCAUAUACUGCGAGCCGCACUCCAAGUUCAUGACGUGUAAUAAUACUGCGAUUGAAUGUUUUGAGUUGUCAACCAUCAGCAUCAUUCAUUGGAUACUACCAGGCAAUUAGAACUUAACUGGCAAACAGAUGCAACAAAUGGUUUACAGUUAUCUCAGUUCAUGCGAGAAAGUGUCCUGAAUUUUGGCGUCUACGCAUCAUAAGGGCGCUUGUAUUUCUAAUUAUUUUAUAGCCGGAGCACGUGCAUGUCGUGCCUAGUCUUCCCAGUGGGACAUUUUCUGCCAUGGAGAUGAGUUGGCAGGAAGAAGUUAGCGUCGGUGGUGUGAAAGAAGCCGCGUUGAAGCCUUAUGUGCCCAAUACCUGUAGACUUAUAGAGCUUUGUUUCUCAAUGGAAAUCAUUGGGUUGGUACCUAUUAUACCUGUAGACUAAUAGAGCUUUGUUUCCAAUGGAAUUCAUGGUGUUGGUACCUAUUAUACCUGCAGAAUAAUAGAGCUUUGUUUCUCAAUUAAAAUCAUUGGGUUGGUACCUAUUAUACCUGUAGAAUAAUAGAGCUUUGUUUCUCAAUUAAAAUCAUUGGGUUGGUAUUUUAUGAGUCACUUUAGUUAAUGAUCGGAAUAUCCUCGGUUGAAUCACGAUCAUUUAGUUACUCUUCUUAGCUAGUGGUGUUGUUUGUAGCUCUGUGUUUAGUCUAGACCUGUUCACGCACGACGUUGAAGCCGAACUUUCCUUGAUGAAGAUCUUCUGUUUGUUCCUUCAAGUGGAAUUCCCU